UAAUAGUACGCAGAUCGCUCCUCUAAUUUCAAUAAAUUUACCUGUUAGAUUUUGCAUACUACUACAUAAUCAGAUCUGGUCGCGUUAUGUCUUGUGCCUCGUAUCUUUAUGAGUGUUUUAUUUAAAUAACUCGAACGUUAAUUAUAAAUUAUAAUCGUAAUAGUCUUUGGUUAUUUUAGUACACAGCAGAAAAUAUAGGUACGCAAUUUUAUGCGAUUAACUUUUUGUUCGUUUACUAAGUCAUGAAGAUAAUAUGAUAUUGAGAAGUAUUACUUGUGUACGAGUUCGUAG
rnacentral:misc_RNA from 1 species